rnacentral:rRNA from 1 species
CUAAGGUUUCCGAAGCGGGAAACGAAGUUAACUGAACCUUCGGGGAACGUUAACGGCGUCGAGCGGCGGACGGGUGAUUAAUGCCUGGGAAAUUGCCCUGAUGUGGGGGAUAACCAUUGGAAACGAUGGCUAAUACCGCAAAAUAGCUUCGGCUCAAAGAGGGGGACCUUCGGGCCUCUCGCGUCAGGAUAUGCCCGGGUGGGAUUAGCUAGUUGGUGAGGUAAGGGCUCACCAGGGCGACAAUCCCUAGCUGGUCUGAGAGGAUGAUCACCCACACUGGAACUGAAACACGGUCCAAACUCCUACGGGAGGCAGCAGUGGGGAAUAUUGCACAAUGGGCGCAAGCCUGAUGCACCCAUGCCGCGUGUAUGAAAAAGGCCUUCGGGUUGUAAAGUACUUUCAGCCGUGAGGAAGGCGGUGUCUUUAAUAGCGGCAUCAUUUGACGUUAGCUACAAAAAAAGCACCGGCUAACUCCGUGCCAGCACCCGCGGUAAUACGGAGGGUGCGAGCGUUAAUCGGAAUUACUGGGCGUAAAGCGCAUGCAGGUGGUUUGUUAAGUCAGAUGUGAAAGCCCGGGGCUCACCCUCGGAAUUGCAUUUGAAACUGGCAGACUAGAGUACUGUAGAGGGGGGUAGAAUUUCAGGUGUAGCGGUGAAAUGCGUAGAGAUCUGAAGGAUACCUGUGGCGAAGGCGGCCCCCUGGACAGAUACUGACACUCAGAUGCAAAGCGUGGGGAGCAAACAGGAUUAAUACCCUGUAGUCCACGCCGUAAACGAUGUCUACUUGAGUUGUGCCUUCCACCGUGCUUUCGGAGCUAACGCGUUAAGUAAACCGCCUGGGGAGUACGUCCGCAGAUUAAACUCAAUGAUUGACUGCGCCCCGC